GUGAGGAAUAUUGCGCAAUGGAGGCAACUCUGACGCAGCCAUGCCGCGUGCAGGAAGAAGGCGCUACGCGUUGUAAACUGCUUUUAACCGGGAAGAAACCCCAGGACGUGUCCUGGGUUGACGGUACCGGAGGAAUAAGCACCGGCUAACUUCGUGCCAGCAGCCGCGGUAAUACGAAGGGUGCAAGCGUUAUCCGGAUUCAUUGGGUUUAAAGGGUGCGUAGGCGGAGCGUUAAGUCAGUGGUGAAAUCCUGCAGCUUAACUGUAGACUUGCCAUAUAUACUGGCGCGCUUGAGUGCGCUUGAAGUGGGCGGAAUGUGCCGUGUAGCGGUGAAAUGCUUAGAUAUGGCACAGAACACCAAUUGCGAAGGCAGCUCACUAAGGCGAUACUGACGCUGAGGCACGAAAGCGUGGGGAUCGAACAGGAUUAGAUACCCGUGUAGUCC
rnacentral:rRNA from 1 species